rnacentral:rRNA from 1 species
UACGAAGGGGGCGAGCGUUGUUCGGAAUUACUGGGCGUAAAGGGCGCGUAGGCGGCCGAUCAAGUCAGAUGUGAAAGUCCUGGGCUUAACCUGGGGACUGCAUUUGAUACUGAUUGGCUUGAAUGCAGGAGAGGAUAGCGGAAUUCCCAGUGUAGAGGUGAAAUUCGUAGAUAUUGGGAAGAACACCGGUGGCGAAGGCGGCGACCUGGUCCGUGACUGACGCUGAGGCGCGAAAGCGUGGGGAGCAAACAGG